rnacentral:ncRNA from 1 species
ACUGUGGAGUGUAUAAAAAUUGUUAGUAGUAUCUGGCUUUAUUCAGUACAAACGCAUACACAAUGAAGCAGUAA